rnacentral:tRNA from 1 species
GGCGCGUUCCUCUAAUGGUCAGGAGAUCGGUUUCUCAAUCCGACAAUAGCAGUUCGAUUCUGCUACGCGCUA